rnacentral:rRNA from 1 species
UGGUGGAGUGAUUUGUCUGGUUAAUUCCGUUAACGAACGAGACCUCGAUCUGCUAAAUAGAUACACGGAUUCUUUGGAUCUGCUGUACGCUUCUUAGAGAGACUAUCGGUUAGUAGCCGAAGGAGGUUCGAGGCAAUAACA